CUCUUCUUCAAUCUCUUCUAGACUUUUUUUCUUUUUCUUAAUCCUCCCAUUCUCUUAAUUCUUCUUAUUAUCCGGGUUCUAUAUCUAUUUCAGUCUGGUAAACCUAGUGUUUUGGUCUAGAACCCUAACAGAAUCUCUUCUCUUUCACUAUCUCUAUACGAAAAGAUUCUUGAAUCUGUGUAUCUGAUCUUUAUCAAGUAAAAACCCUAACAACGUUGUUGAGGACGAUUUGAAUCACAAAGAAAACUGCAUCUAAGGAGUAUUAUGAGCGUGGUUAGGGUUUUCAAUCUCUCCAGAAUUCGUCUUCAUCAAGAUGAUGCGCCACCUCAAUCAGAUGUUUAAGUGUUCAAGUUUCUUAAUCAAUGAAUUCUUCCUAAGGAUUAGGUUUUCAGAGUAAAGACUUCAUCAUGGCAAUUCAAUGUUUGGCACUUAUUCAGGCACCAAAGAGUAGAAAGCCCUAGCUCCCACAAUUUUCAAAGCCAGCUAAAUCUGGUGGUGGUAAACAAUAGAAGAGCUUCUACAAGUCUUAUGUCGGCUUUCUUCGUUGCUUCUGAUGGUAUCCUCUUGGAGAUCCAUCAGGUAGAGUUGAGUCGUUUGGCUGAUGGUGAUGACAACGUGUUGCAGUUUCAACCUUUUAGGUGAUGGUGAUUACAACACUGUUGCAUAUAUCUGUAGAACUGUACCUUAUUAGAGAAAACCCCAACAACUCCUGCAUAUAUGCUACUUUUUCAGUCACUAUAUAUCUCAGCUUAUAAUAUAUCUCAGUCACUCUUUUUGUAGUUGAUAACUAGCUAUUGCAGGGGAAGAUCGAAUAUGCAAGUGAUGGCAUUAUACCUGCAAUGGUUAUCCUACACGUAGGAGUUACUCCGAAUUUUCUAAUGUAUUUGGUCUCUUAGCUUUGGAACUUAUGGAUGGAAGCUAUGAUGAAUAAUCUUUGACGAAGAAGAUUUUGCACAAGUUAAAACUUGAUAAUUUUCAUGUUAACCAGAAAGCUAUGUAUUUUUGAGUUGUUCAAGUCAUCUAUGCCCCAUACCUGCGGAUAGAGUACGAGAAAAGGGGGUACACAGGGAUGAACUUGUCCACUACCUUAAAGUUCCACUGAAGGAAAUCAUAUUUUAAAUACCAAGAAAUUUUUGAACAAGGCAAAACAGAGAAGUUAGAA